rnacentral:rRNA from 1 species
AACGAACGCUGGCGGCAUGCCUAACACAUGCAAGUCGAACGAAGCCUUCGGGCUUAGUGGCGCACGGGUGCGUAACGCGUGGGAAUCUGCCCUUGGGUUCGGAAUAACAGUUAGAAAUGACUGCUAAUACCGGAUGAUGACGUUAAGUCCAAAGAUUUAUCGCCCAGGAAUGAGCCCGCGUAGGAUUAGCUAGUUGGUGGGGUAAAGGCCUACCAAGGCGACGAUCCUUAGCUGGUNNGNGAGGAUGAUCAGCCACACUGGGANUGAGACNCGGCCCAGACUCCUACGGGAGGCAGCAGUGGGGAAUAUUGNACAA